GAUGAAGAACGUAGCGAAAUGCGAUAAGUAAUGUGAAUUGCAGAAUUCAGUGAAUCAUCGAAUCUUUGAACGCACCUUGCGCCCUUUGGCCAUUCCGAAGGGCAUGCCUGUUUGAGUAUCAUGAACACCUCAACUCUCAUGGCUCGCCAUGAUGAGCUUGGAUUUGGGGGUCUUGCUGGCCUGUGGUCGGCUCCUCUCAAAUGGAUCAGCUUGCCAGUGUUUGGUGGCAUCACAGGUGUGAUAACUAUCUGCGCUUGUGGUUUUCCAUCAGAUAACCUUCAGUGAUGGAGGUUCGCUGGAGCUCAUAAACGUCUCCCCUAAGCGGGGACAGCCCUUUGAAUGUUUGAUCUCAAAUCAGGUAGGACUACCCGCUGAACUUAAGCAUAUCAAUAAGCGGAGGAA
rnacentral:misc_RNA from 1 species